rnacentral:rRNA from 1 species
CAGCAGCCGCGGUAAUACGAAGGGUGCAAGCGUUAAUCGGAAUUACUGGGCGUAAAGCGUGCGUAGGCGGUGAGUUAAGUCUGUUGUGAAAUCCUCGGGCUCAACCUGGGAAUGGCAAUGGAUACUGGCAAGCUAGAGUGUGUCAGAGGAUGGUAGAAUUCCCGGUGUAGCGGUGAAAUGCGUAGAGAUCGGGAGGAACAUUAGUGGCGAAGGCGGCCAUCUGGGACAACACUGACGCUGAGGCACGAAAGCGUGGGGAGCAAACAGGAUUAGAGACCCCCGUAGUCCCUGUCUCUUAUAC